rfam:Crassostrea gigas strain 05x7-T-G4-1.051#20 contig19010, whole genome shotgun sequence.
GUCAGGAUGGCCGAGCGGUCUAAGGCGCCAGACUCAAGAGAGAUAACUCUUCAUUCUUCUCUUGGAGAAUGCGGGUGUUCUGGUCCACGAAUGUGGGCGUGGGUUCGAAUCCCACUUCUGACA